rnacentral:rRNA from 1 species
UACGUAGGGGGCAAGCGUUGUCCGGAUUUAUUGGGCGUAAAGAGCGUGUAGGCGGCCAUGUAGGUCCGUUGUGAAAACUCGAGGCUCAACCUCGAGACGCCGAUGGAAACCAUGUGGCUAGAGUCCGGAAGAGGAGAGUGGAAUUCCCGGUGUAGUGGUGAAAUGCGCAGAUAUCAGGAAGAACACCCGUGGCGAAGGCGGUUCUCUGGGACGGUACUGACGCUGAGACGCGAAAGCGUGGGGAGCGAACAGG